rnacentral:rRNA from 1 species
UACGUAGGGUGCGAGCGUUAAUCGGAAUUACUGGGCGUAAAGCGUGCGCAGGCGGUUAUGUAAGACAGUUGUGAAAUCCCCCGGGCUCAACCUGGGAAUUGCAUCUGUGACUGCAUAGCUAGAGUACGGUAGAGGGGGAGUGGAAUUCCGGCGUGUAGCAGUGAAAUGCGUAGAUAUGCGGAGGAACACCCGUGGCGAAGGCGGCUCUCUGGGACGGUACUGACGCUGAGACGCGAAAGCGUGGGGGAGCAAACAGG